rnacentral:rRNA from 1 species
CUGCCCUAUGGGUUGUAAACUGCUUUUGUACGGGAAGAAAUGUCACUAUGCGUAGUGAUUUGACGGUACCGUAAGAAUAAGGAUCGGCUAACUUCGUGCCAGCAGCCGCGGUAAGACGAAGGAUCCAAGCGUUGUCCGGAUUUACUGGGUUUAAAGGGAGCGUAGGCGGAUUAAUAAGUCAGUGGUGAAAGCCUUCAGCUUAACUGAAGAACUGCCAUUGAAACUGUUAGUCUCGAGUACGGCUGAGGUGACUGGAAUGUAACAUGUAGCGGUGAAAUGCUUAGAUAUGUUACAGAACACCAAUUGCGAAGGCAGGUCACUAAACCGUAACUGACGCUGAGGCUCGAAAGCGUGGGGAGCAAACAGGAUUAGAUACCCUGGUAGUCCACGCCCUAAACGUUGAAUACUCGGUCUUGGCGAUACACAGUCAGGGCCCAAGCGAAAGCGUUAAGUAUU